UCUCACACAAAGAGUGCUUGAAAUUGUCGGGAGGGAAGCGGAUGGGGGCCGGCGAUGCGUCCUGGUCGGAUGCGGAACGGAGCAAUGGCCAUGGACCGAUGCGGAUUAAAGUUGUGACCUAAUCCUGGGAUUUUGUUAUCCCCGCGGAGACGUCGCUGCCUUAAUCGUGGUCUGCAGCACGCGCCUCACGGCGUGCCUCGGCAUCUGCGUGCUUAGGGCGUCGGCCUGUGGGCUCCCCAUUCGACCCGUCUUGAAACACGGACCAAGGAGUCUGACAUGUGUGCGAGUCAACGGGUGAGUAAACCCGUAAGGGGCAAGGAAGCUGAUUGGCUGGAUCCCCCACGGGUGCACAGCCGACCGACCUUGAUCUUCUGAGAAGGGUUCGAGUGUGAGCAUGCCUGUCAGUACCCGAAAGAUGGUGAACUAUGCCUGAGCGGGGCGAAGCUAGAGGAAACUCUGGUGGACGCCCGCAGCGAUACUGACGUGCAAAUCAUUCGUCUGACUUGGGUAUAGGGGCGACAGACUAAUCGAACCAUCUAGUAGCUGGUUCCCUCUGAAGUUUCCCUCAGGAUAGCUGGAGCUCGGAAACGAGUUCUAUCGGGUGCCAAUGAUUAAAGGCAUCGGGGACGCAAUGUCCUCGACCUAUUCUUAAACUAUAAAUAGGGAGGACGGGGUGGCUGAUUUAUUGAGCCAUCCCACAGAAUCGAGAGUUUCAAGUGGGCCAUUUUUGGUAAGCAGAACUGGCAAUGCGGGAUGAACUGGAAGCCGGGUUACGGUGCCCAACUGCGUGCUAACCUAGAACCCACAAAGGCUGUAGGUCGAUUAAGACAACAGGACAGUGGUCAUGGAAGUCAAAAUCCGCUAAGGAGUGUGUAACAACUCACCUGCCGAAUCAACUAGCCCCGAAAAUGGAUGGCGCUGAAGGGCGCUGUGGGAACCGAAAUCGCACUGUCGAUUUCCAUUUAAAUUGCAAAACUAGGAAAACCCUAAUUUCCCAGAGGUCCCGGAUCUCUGCGAGAGCCAACGACAAGUGACCAAAUAUAUGCGGAAAUCAUGAAAAGAUAACAAACGAGUUUAGAGAAAACAGUGGAUCUUAUUUCGAGUCCGCGUAAGAGCGUUGCGAUCAUCACAAGAGAUCAUAAAAGCUUUGGCCGCAAAGGCUGUCAGCGAGUUACUUAGUUCUAGCGGAAUAAUAGCUUAAACCUAGU
rnacentral:ncRNA from 1 species